rnacentral:rRNA from 1 species
UACGUAGGGUGCAAGCGUUGUCCGGAAUUAUUGGGCGUAAAGAGCUCGUAGGCGGUCUGUCGCGUCGGAUGUGAAAACUCGGGGCUCAACCCCGGGCCUGCAUUCGAUACGGGCAGACUAGAGUACGGCAGGGGAGACUGGAAUUCCUGGUGUAGCGGUGAAAUGCGCAGAUAUCAGGAGGAACACCGGUGGCGAAGGCGGGUCUCUGGGCCGAUACUGACGCUGAGGAGCGAAAGCGUGGGGAGCGAACAGG